AUGGUUAUUUGGCAUGAUAUAUUAUUUGCUAUAAACAUGGUGAGUAAGAAGUUGCAGUCCGCAUCUAUGUGUGUCGACUCUACCUUGCAGCAAAUUGAAGGCGUAAUGCAGUUUUUUGAUAAGUACAGAGAUGAAGGAUUUGCAUCUUGUUUGACUAUCGCCAAAGGUCUUGCAGUUGAUAUGGGCAUAGAACCAUCAUUUCCAAUAAAACGUAAUGUUACUAGGAAGAAACAAUUUGAUGAACCUAAUAACGAUGAAGAAGUUCUAAAAGCUGAGAAGGCGUUCGAAGUUAAUUACUUCUUAGUUCUGGUUGAUAUUGCAAAUGUCUCUCUGAAAACUAGAUUCAAAGAAAGUGUUCAAAAGUAUAUUUGGUUUCUCACUUAG
rnacentral:rRNA from 1 species